GAUGAACGCUGGCGGCGUGCUUAACACAUGCAAGUCGAACGAAGCACUUUAUUUGAUUUCCUUCGGGACUGAUUAUUUUGUGACUGAGUGGCGGACGGGUGAGUAACGCGUGGGUAACCUGCCUUGUACAGGGGGAUAACAGUUGGAAACGGCUGCUAAUACCGCAUAAGCGCACAGCAUCGCAUGAUGCAGUGUGAAAAACUCCGGUGGUAUAAGAUGGACCCGCGUUGGAUUAGCUAGUUGGUGAGGUAACGGCCCACCAAGGCGACGAUCAGUAGCCGACCUGAGAGGGUGACCGGCCACAUUGGGACUGAGACACGGCCCAAACUCCUACGGGAGGCAGCAGUGGGGAAUAUUGCACAAUGGGGGAAACCCUGAUGCAGCGACGCCGCGUGAGCGAAGAAGUAUUCGGUAUGUAAAGCUCUAUCAGCAGGGAGAAAAAAUGACGGUACCUGACUAAGAAGCCCCGGCUAACUACGUAGCCAGCAGCCGC
rnacentral:rRNA from 1 species